GGAGGGGUGGCAGAGCGGACGAAUGCGACGGUCUUGAAAACCGUUGAGGGGCAACUCUCCGGGGGUUCGAAUCCCCCCCCCUCCGCC
rnacentral:tRNA from 1 species